CCUGCACCGCUAAAAAAGCUUAUUAGGAGUUUACUGUUCAUUUUCUCUGGUCCGCUGGUUGAAAAAAAUCAACAUGACGGCUACCUAACAGCCAAACUCGUGGCUUCAAAACAGCAGUCCACAAACUAAUGGGUACAUGGAUUUCAUCUACUCACCCGCAACAACAACGGUGCUACUCUCCUGGGCCAACGGAGGUCCACAACCUGCUCGAGUGCACGCACUGAGGCGGAAGCGGUAGAGGCUGCCUUCCUCUAAGCCCUCAAGCUUCCGCUGGGUGGUGUCAGCCCCAGUGAUGUUUAUCUCCUGGGAAUCAACCGCCUCCAGUGUGGUCUCAUUAACUAUAGAGGAAAGAGAAAGAUGUCAGGUCAUUUCACAUGGCAUG